CUCUCUCUCUCUAUGGCUCUGGUUUAGAUAAGCCAGCUCAGGCAUUUCCGGUCAACUGUCAUUCCUGAAGAUGUUCCGCGCUGCCUGCAGGAUCUACCUCGAGUCAACACAAAUGAUGAUUUACACCGCCUGAUUCAUUCAAAUUCAAAGACUUCAUCAAGCAAACGUGAAAAGGGAUGUAUUAUAUCCAGCUAUAUCCAUGACUACGAAGGUUGUUCUCAAAGACUCUAAACCCGUUGAGCUGUUGACCUGUCAUUCCUCAUGUGUGGCAGGGCUUGCACUAUGCAAUCAUGUUGCAGAUUUGCUCUACCAGACCUCACAUUACAGCCAGCAGGGAGUAACAGCUGUCCCCCCUACUCACAGCUGCACAGGGUCUGAGCUGCAGUGGCACAAACCUAGACCCCAGGAGUAACUUUUACAACGGGGCCUGUGACUGGACCUGUGACCUUCCAGACAUGUCAGUUCUGCGUGUGAAUGAGAUUUACAGAGGAAUGCCAAGGGAAACUGCUCCACCCACAACAACAAUGGGAAUAGCAUUUAUUAAAUGGGUUAUUCAAAGAACAUUCAGAGACGGGAGAGUCAUAAAAACAAUCAAACAAAAGGUUGAUUACUUUUACCUACCUAUGCUUUUGGCUUGUCAAUUUCCAUGGUUAACUUUCAAUCAGUUUUUUUUUACAAAGUUCAAAUAGUUUGGUUUUCAUUACAUUUCUGAGCAGUUUUCAUGUGCUCAUUAUUGUCAUCUGCCACAAAUAUAUUCUAAUAGAAUAGAAUUCUAGUAUACUAUGUAUACAAAUUAUGUUAUGUAGUUGAACAUGUCAUCAUUAAUUUAUUAAAUUACAU